rnacentral:rRNA from 1 species
UGCAGUCGAACGAAGUAGCAAUACUUAGUGGCAGACGGGUGAGUAACAUGUAGGUAUCUGCCCUUUGGCCUGGAAUAACACGAGGAAACUUGUGCUAAUACUGGAUAAGUCUUUACGGAGAAAGCUUUACGCACCAUUGGAUGAGCCUGCACUUGAUUAGUUUGUUGGUGGGGUAAUGGCCUACCAAGACUGUGAUCAAUAGCUGAUUUGAGAGGAUGAUCAGCCACAUUGGGACUGAGACACGGCCCAAACUCCUACGGGAGGCAGCAGUGGGGAAUCUUGCACAAUGGAGGAAACUCUGAUGCAGCGAUGCCGCGUGAGUGAAGAAGGCCUUUGGGUUGUAAAGCUCUUUCGUCGGGGAAGAAAAUGACUGUACCCGAAUAAGAAGGUCCGGCUAACUUCGUGCCAGCAGCCGCGGUAACACGUAGGGAGCAAGCGUUGUCCGGAUUUAUUGGGCGUAAAGAGCUCGUAGGCGGUUCGGUAAGUCGGGUGUGAAAACUUGAGGCUCAACCUCAAGAGGCCACUCGAUACUGCUGUGACUGGAGUCCGGUAGAGGAGUGUGGAAUUCCUGGUGUAGCGGUGAAAUGCGCAGAUAUCAGGAGGAACACCGACAGCGAAGGCAGCACUCUGGGCCGGUACUGACGCUGAGGAGCGAAAGCAUGGGGAGCGAACAGGAUUAGAUACCCUGGUAGUCCAUGCCGUAAACGUUGGGCACUA